rnacentral:lncRNA from 1 species
AAACAUAAAGAAAGGUUGACUCCUUGCCAACUUGGGCAAGAAGUCAGAGAAUCAAUUAAAGUGGGAGUUAAUCUUGAGAGGUGAUAGGUAGGUAUAACUUGUCCAUCUUAAUCUCGAAAAAUAAGAGUGGGAGACUAAGAGUCUAUUUAGAAAAAUUAUUAGAUUUGAUUAAAAUGCUAGAAAAAGGCAUGAAAGGGAGAGAUUAAAAGGGGGGAAA